UGAAUCACUCCAGACUGAGGAAAUCAGAAAGACCACGGUGGUGCUCCAGCUUGACUGCAUCCACAUGGUUGAAACGAGUAAAAUAAUAAAAGAAUAUUG